UUAGGCCAGGUUGCUCGAAUCUCCUUCCAGCCUGGACUUGAAUGCUUCCAGGGAUGUAGAGUCAGCACCUUCUCUGGGCAACUUUUUCCACUGCCUUACCAUUCUCAUAGAAAAGAUUUUCUUCUUUAUAUCAAAUCUAAAUCUACACUUUGUUAGUACAAAAUCGUUCCUCUUAUCCUAUCACUACAUUCUAACUUUUUGAUAGGCCUCCUUUGGAUACUAGAAGACCUCUGCCUUCUCUUCUCCAGGCUGAACAACCCCAGCUAUCUCAGCUUUUCUUCACAGGAGAGGUGCUUCAGCCCUCCAAUAAUCCCCUGGACCUCUUCUGGACUUACAUCCACAGCAAAGCAUGAGAUGAAACCCCACCUUCAACAUCCAACUCUUCCUGAUAAAGGACUGGGAACUCCUCACAAUAACUCUCCACUGGUACAACUGAAGAACACCAAUAAACCAGAUGAAGUUUAACAAAAGCAAAUGUGGGGUCCUGCAUCUGGGAAGGAAUAACCGCAAGUAUCAGUUCAGCUUGGAACAUGACCUGCUGGAGAGGAGCUCUGCAGAGACCUGAGAGUCCUGGUGGAUGACAGAUUGGCGAUGAGCCAGCAGUGUGCCCUGGUGUCCAAGAAGGACAAUGGGAUCCUGGGGUACAUUAAAAGGAUCGUGGCCAGCAGGUCAAGGGAGGUGAUCCUCCCCCUCUACUCUGCCCUGGUCAGGCCUCACCUGCAGUACUGUAUCCAGUUCUGGGCUCCCCAGUACAAAAAAGACAGGGAUCUCCUGGAAAGAGUCCAGAGGAGGGCCACAAAGAUGAUAAAGGGCCUGGAGCAUCUUCCCUAUGAGGAAAGGUUGAGCAACCUGGGUCUGUUCAACCUUGAGAAAAAAAGACUCAGAGGUGAUUUUAUUAAUGUUUAUAAAUAUCUUAAGUGUGGGAGUCAAAGGAACAUGGCCAAACUCUUUCCAGUGGUCUGUGGGGACAGGACAAGGGGAAACAGCCAUAAACUGGAGCAUAGGAAGUUCCAAUAUGCAAAUAGACACCAAUAUGCAAAGGAACUUCUUCACAGUGAGGGUGACACAGGCACAUGUACAGUGAUCUGUGGCCCUGCUUCAGCUGUCAGCACAGAGCUCCUCACACUCCCUACUCUCUGUAAUCUCUACCAUAUAGCUAGUUUUGGGUACACACAUCAUUUUCUCCCCAGUUACUAGUGGUUGAGACGCCACUGGCUCCACUACUGACACCACAGGCAAGGGACACUCGCACUCCUGAUUUGUACUGAGUAGCUGGCAAGCAGUUCAUUCUUACUGUUUUCAACAAUAACUGGUAUUUAGUCCUUGUAAAAUGUACAAAGGAUAGAGAGUGAUACUACACAGACAGUUGAUACUACACAGAGAUUUAACGAGAAGAUAGGAAAGAAUUCAGUGAUCAGGCUCAGAGAUAAGUCAGACAAGCACACUGACCAUCCUUGUUGUAUGUAUGACUGGCCAUCUUCUGUUCGUUCUUUGUUCCUCCCUGCUCUCCUUUCUCUUGCACACUACCUUAUCAGUUUGCACAGCCUGUCGCUGACAUCUUGAACUUUUAUGUCUGCAUUCUUAUCAGUUUAAAAGUCCUGGUUUGCUUGCAGUUUCUUGAUAGUGAAUCAGUUAGUGACACAAUUUAAAUUUGAUUUUGGUUAUUCUCUUCAUUUACAUUGGUUGGUCCAGUUUUAUGGCAAGGUCCUUAGUGAUAUGAUCUUACUGAAAAAAUAAUGAUUCUCACACUCACAUUAAUGUAACUGACUGACUUGUACAUCCUUCUCAUGUCUGUGUCUCUGUGUACUCUUAUGUAUGGCUUUCUUGUUUUCUUAGCACCCCUUUCUGCAUUUGACCAGGUAAUGUUAAGAGAGCACUCUAAUUCUACAGACCCUUACAGUAAUCAAAGUUCAGUUUCUUUCAUUUUGACCUGAUGUAAUUGCUGAUUACUUCCAGAAGGGAUGCCCCUCUCUACAAGAAAGUCAUUGAAGCCAUGGAGUGUGUCCAGAAAAGGGCAAUGACGCUGGUGAAUGGUCCAUUUAGUUUGGAGACGAGGAGGUUCAGGGGAGACCUUAUGGCUUUCUACAACUACCUGAAAGGAGAUCGUGAUGAGAUGGGGGUUGACAUCUCCCACAUAACUAGUGAUAGGAUGAAAGAAAAUGUCCUCAAGUUGCACCAGGGGAGGUUCAGACUGGAUAUUAGGAAAAAUUUAUUCUCCAGAAGAGUGGUCAAGUGUUGGAACAAGGUACCCAGGGAGGUGGUUGAGUCACCAUCUCUGAGUGUUCAAGAAAAGUUUAGAUGUUGUACUAAGGGACAUGGUGUAGUGGAGAAAUAUUGGCUGUACGUGGACAGUUAGACUAGAUGAUCUUAGAGGUUUGUAUUAUCUCUUUCCCCAUGCCCAAGUUUCUGAUAACAUCUUUGAUAACAUCAUGCUCCUGUAUCUGUUGAUGGGUUAUUUUCUUUACUUAGCUACAUCCCAAUCCCAGUACUGCAGUGAAAUAAGGAACAGAUUUUUAAAGCAUAUUCCAAGCCUUAACAUAGCUGUCAUUUCAGUUUUACGUGGCAGAAAAGAUUGAUCAAUUUUUACAGCUGGAACAAGACUGUUCUAUUUUGAGUUAACAGAAACUUCUACUUGUUCUGUUUAAUUAAUUGUUAACAUCUAAAGACAUUAUUUUAUAGAAAAGGACCCUACAAAUAUAUUGUCUUUUCUAGUUUUGAAAUACUGG
rnacentral:lncRNA from 1 species